rnacentral:tRNA from 1 species
GCCUUCAUGGUGUAGUGGUCAGCACGCUCGGCGCGUAUUCGAGAGGUCCGUGGUUCGAGUCCUGGCGAGGGCA